GUGCUCGCUUCGGUGGUACAUACACUAAAACUGGAACAAAAGAGAGAUGAUUAGCACAUCCGCUGUACAAAGCUGACACUCAAAUUCGUGAAGCAUUCCAUAUUUUA
ensembl:snRNA U6 U6 spliceosomal RNA